rnacentral:rRNA from 1 species
UGGGGAAUUUUGGACAAUGGGGGCAACCCUGAUCCAGCCAUGCCGCGUGUGUGAAGAAGGCCUUCGGGUUGUAAAGCACUUUCGGCCGGAACGAAAUCGCACGGGUGAAUAUCCCGUGUGGAUGACGGUACCGGAAGAAGAAGCACCGGCUAACUACGUGCCAGCAGCCGCGGUAAUACGUAGGGUGCGAGCGUUAAUCGGAAUUACUGGGCGUAAAGUGUGCGCAGGUGGCCGCGCAAGUCGAGUGUGAAAUCCCCGAGCUUAACUUGGGAAUUGCGCUCGAAACUACGUGGCUCGAGUGUGGCAGAGGAAGGUGGAAUUCCACGUGUAGCGGUGAAAUGCGUAGAGAUGUGGAGGAACACCGAUGGCGAAGGCAGCCUUCUGGGCCAACACUGACGCUCAUGCACGAAAGCGUGGGGAGCAAACAG